UGCAAUCUAGUGUAGAGGCACGUAAAGUUUUGAUCUUUAGAGAAUUGGUGCAAUUCCAUUGUUUGUAA
rnacentral:tRNA from 2 species